rnacentral:rRNA from 1 species
AGGCGGCUUUGCAAGUCAGGUGUGAAAACUAUGGGCUUAACCCAUAGAUUGCACUUGAAACUGUGGAGCUUGAGUGAAGUAGAGGCAGGCGGAAUCCCCGGUGUAGCGGUGAAAUGCGUAGAGAUCGGGAGGAACACCAGUGGCGAAGGCGGCCUGCUGGGCUUUAACUGACGCUGAGGCACGAAAGCAUGGGUAGCAAACAGGAUUAGAUACCCUGGUAGUCCAUGCCGUAAACGAUGAUUACUAGGUGUGGGGGGUCUGACCCCUUCCGUGCCGGAGUUAACACAAUAAGUAAUCCACCUGGGAAGUACGACCGCAAGGUUGAAACUCAAAGGAAUUGACGGGGGCCCGCACAAGCAGUGGAGUAUGUGGUUUAAUUCGAAGCAACGCGAAGAACCUUACCAGGUCUUGACAUCCAACUAACGAAGCAGAGAUGCAUUAGGUGCCCUUCGGGGAAAGUUGAGACAGGUGGUGCAUGGUUGUCGUCAGCUCGUGUCGUGAGAUGUUGGGUUAAGUCCCGCAACGAGCGCAACCCUUGUGAUUAGUUGCUACGCA